UACAGAGGUCCCAAGCGUUGUUCGGAUUCAUUGGGCGUAAAGGGUGCGUAGGCGGCGCGGGAAGUCGGGUGUGAAAUCUCGGAGCUUAACUCCGAAACUGCAUUCGAUACUGCCGUGCUUGAGGACUGGAGAGGAGACUGGAAUUUACGGUGUAGCGGUGAAAUGCGUAGAUAUCAGGAAGAACACCAACGGCGAAGGCAGCUCGCUGGGACGGAACUGACGCUAAGGCGCGAAAGCGUGGGGAGCGAACAGG
rnacentral:rRNA from 1 species